AUUGAACGCUGGCGGCAGGCCUAACACAUGCAAGUCGAACGGUAACAGGAAGCAGCUUGCUGCUUCGCUGACGAGAGGCGGACGGGUGAGUAAUGUCUGGGAAACUGCCUGAUGGAGGGGGAUAACUACUGGAAACGGUAGCUAAUACCGCAUAACGUCGCAAGACCAAAGAGGGGGACCUUAGGGCCUCUUGCCAUCGGAUGUGCCCAGAUGGGAUUAGCUAGUAGGUGGGGUAACGGCUCACCUAGGCGACGAUCCCUAGCUGGUCUGAGAGGAUGACCAGCCACACUGGAACUGAGACACGGUCCAGACUCCUACGGGAGGCAGCAGUGGGGAAUAUUGCACAAUGGGCGCAAGCCUGAUGCAGCCAUGCCGCGUGUAUGAAGAAGGCCUUCGGGUUGUAAAGUACUUUCAGCGGGGAGGAAGGGAGUAAAGUUAAUACCUUUGCUCAUUGACGUUACCCGCAGAAGAAGCACCGGCUAACUCCGUG
rnacentral:rRNA from 1 species